UGUUAAGAGGAGAAGACUCUUGAUUCAAGUCUACGCCAAGUAAUAGCUUUGAGACCCAGACCCUGGGCAAAGCCUCAAUACUCUCACUGCAAAAUGGAUAUGAUAAUAUCACCAAAUUUAUUCGCAGGAAGUUGCAAAGGAGUAUGGAGAAGACCCAUGUACCUAUACCCAGUUUCUUCCAGUGGCUGCAUCUUACAUAAGAUGUACCAUAUCCAAUCCAGGAAUUUGACAUUGAUAUGGCUCACAGAUUUUUGAGGAUGGUCCUGAUCUUAAACAUCCCACCUUGCGAGUGACUGAAAACAUCAAACCAUCCGAAGAAUCCUAAAACUUUGGCAAUAACAAUGGAAAGACUCAAGUAGAACUGAAGAGAAAGAAUACUUACACAUGUAAAGGAACUUUUAUGUGAUUUACUAGUUGUCCUCUCUGGGAACACCUCCACAGCAUUAAUGUCAGAGCAAUUGUUGCACUUGCCUGAAUAAGGGAAAGCUGAGUCACUGAUUCAAGGUGAUAUCACAGCAAAUAUUUCCAACUAUAAUUGAAGGCAUUUAUUUUACCUACUUUGCUAACAUUCUUUGAAGUGUGUUCAAAAGAAAUUAUACUUCAUUUUAAUGUCAAAGUGAAAUGCAAAAAUCAGGAAAACAUGUGCUUUUAAGGUGACUGGGUAAACAGAAUAUUCCAUUAGAAAAGAAAUAACCAGUAAUCACAAGUGAUGUUGUGCACAAUGUAGAAGUGAGAUAAAUAUUGCUUGCAUUGGGAAUUUGAUAUGACUUUAUAUACUCAGACAAAGAAAAAUUGAUUCAUUUUAUGCUCUAGUAAAUUUUAGGUAAAAAAAAAAAAACAAAUAAAAAAAUGGGGGUGGGGGAGGCUUGGUAAAUUCAAAGAGAGCUGUCUUAGUUUUUAAGGAAAUGAUCUUCUUAAUAAAUGGUCUUAAAAUAUACUUAGAACUUAUAAGCAGAAUGGGGUGAAGAGAAUGUUUCUUCAAAACAGAGAUGAUUAAAAGGACACCAAUUUUUUUUUACGAGAAUGCUAGAAUUCCAAAUAUAAAAUUUUAUGUGAAUUCAUUGCCAUGUUGUUAUGUACAAAUGCGAUGACAGAAAGGUCAUUUUUCCCUAAAUAAUAACUUUUUGACAUUAGAAACACAUAUAUCGCAAAAAUGUUUAUAAUUCAAGUGAAAAUUACAGCGACUUGACAAGACUUUUAGAAAAAUAAAAUUACAUUUUUAAACAAGAGACCGAAAUCUUCAAAGCUAGUAAGAUACUACCAGUCCCACUAGUAGUGAAAGAGCCAAAUUUACAACAUAAAUUUUAUGUGAUUAUUUUAUUAAAAUUUUGCAUUGCAUUUUAUGUAAUUUUAAUUUUUCAGGAAAGGGUAUCUUUUCAUGUGAUUGUAGCCUUAAAUAUUAAUUUAUAUAUUUGGAAAACAUUACUUAACAAUGUAUCUGAAGACUAUCAUGAAUUAUAAAGAUAAAUGAUAUCUGAUAAAUUCCAACAUCUAAGAAGGGAGUUAGGAGAGGGGCUAAAAGAAAGGAAGCUAAGCCCCAACUAUAACUGAAUGAUGACCAGGGAUAAUUAUUUACUAGUACUUUUAUGACUUCUUGUAACUCUGUAACUUCCCCAAUAUUUAUCAGUUUUGUUAAUCUCUGUUUUUCUUGUACUUAUGAGUAGUAAAAAUUGUUCAAAAUAAAAAAUAUCUGAUAAAUUCUA